CUUCUGCUCUCCCAGCACUGGACACAGGAGACAGGAUAAUGGAGCCCCCAUUACUUACUCCGACAGUAGGUAAGCAGGAGGAGAAGGGGUUAUUAGAUUUGUAUAUGUGUUAGAGUAUGUGCUAGUAUACUGGUAUCAGUGUGUUAAUAUGUGUAUAUGUAUGUGUGACAAUUUGUAUCUCUGUGUUAGUCUAUGUAUGUAUGCCAGUGUGUGGGUAUGCAUAUUAUGUGUCUGAUAUUGUAUUUGUGUGUCUGUGUCUAUGUAUUCAUGUAAGUUUAUGUAUUAUGUGUAUUAGUUUGUGUCGAUGAUUGUGUGUUAGUGUGUGUAUUAAUGUGUGCCUCUAUGCAUAUCAGAUUGUAUUAAUGUAUACAUGUUAAUGUGUAUGUCAGUAUGUAUAUGUUAGUGUAUAUCUACAUAUUCAUAUUAGAAUGUGUGUAUGUAUGUUUCUGUGUCUAUGUGUGAACAUGUUCCUAAUUAGAUUGGGAUAUCUGGCAGUUAAGUUGUGAAUUUUGUGGACAUGUAGACAUGGUUAAAUACAUGCAUGUGAAUGGACAUCUCUGUAUAUAUGUUUAAAUGUUUUCAUUUGCUAGCAUGUUAUGUACGUGUGGCUAAUUAUGUAUAUGUUUGUAUAAAUGAAGGUAAGGAUUUUACUCACAUCAAGCUUUAGUGCUGCCACAUUGGUGUUCACAUAAUGCUUUGUUUGCUAUCAUGUUACAAUUCCACUAACAAUUUUAAGCAAAAAAAAGAAACGGCCUGUGGAAAAAAAAAAAAAGAUAGACGCAGUACAGUGGCGUACUAAGGAGGUGCAGGUGGGGGAGGGAGCAGUCCGCCACGGGUGUUAUUAAUUAGGGGGGUGCCAUCCAGAGCCAGGGAUGUGUCAUGUGUAAUCUGUGCGGCCGCACAGUGCCCCAUGGAAUCUGGGGCAUUGGGUGGCCAACACAGCUCGCACGUGCAGAGGCCAGCAAUUGCUUAAAAACUGACCACACGGAAGGAGAGUUGAGACGGAGCUAAUAAAGUCAUGGGCGGGGCUUAACACGGCCCUCACCCACUGCUGUUACUGCUGCACAUGGAGGGAAGCAAGAAGUAAUCCAUGCUUCCCCAACUUACAGACGCCAGGGAAGGAUUUCAGGGAAUCCACUCCUCCUCCAGCCCAUACUGUCUGUAAGAGAGAAAGUGUGUGUGUGUGUGUGUGUGUGAUGGUCCUCUUUAAACUGUGUUUGAGUGUAUGUGACUGUCUGCCUGUAACUGUGUAUGUAUGACUGCCUGUGAGUGUGUGUGUGACUGUCUGCAUGUGACUGUAUGUGUGACUGUCUGCCAGUAACUGUGUGUGUGAGUGCCUGGCUACAACUGCGUGUGACUGCCUGUAACUGUCUGUGUGUGCCUGUGUAACUGUGUGUGUGACUGCCUGUGACUGUAUGCAUGUGACUAUGUGUGUGUGACUGUCUGCCUGUGAUUGUGUGAUGCUGCCUGUAACUGUGUGUGACUGCCUGUGACUGUGUGCGUGUGACUGUCUGCCCGUAACUGUGUGUGUUUGUCUGCCUGUAACUGCGUGUGUUUGACUGCCUGUAACUGUUUGUGUGGGGUGUGCAGGGAUUUUGUAGAAGGAGUCAGGGGUUUUGUAUUGGGGCAGGGGUCUUGUAUACAGAUGGCUGAGCAGAGGAUUUGUUGAAGGGUGGUGCAUGUGUUUUGUUGACGGGGGCAGUACAGGGGUCUGUAGAAGGGGGAUGUCAGGGGUUUUACAAAGUUUACGAAUUUACGAAUGCAAUAUAUGAAAAAAACAUUUUUUUAAUUUUGCGGAUGUUUUUUUAAAAAACAUUUUUGGAGGGGGGGGGGGGUUAGUGUCAAACACAGGAUCCUCCCUUGGUGCCAAAUGCUUAAUGUAUGCCUCUUUGCGCAGAGUGAGGUUUUAACAGAAAUAAAAAUCUUUUUUUAGCAGUUGGGGCAACAGACCCAUUCUGGCACAUGGACUAGUCAUUGACAUAACUGAAUAUAAAGAGGAAAUGUAUCAUUCUUGAAAUGCAUCCUUGGCUAGUAUUAGUAACACUGAGGGCACUAGAGUAUGACAUUAUACCUGAAACCUUUAAUCAGAGUCUACUAGAAGGAGAGUUUGGCACAAGUGAUAGAGAUUUCUUCACCAUUGGUCAUUAGGUAAGAACUUUUUAUAUACUUAUUUAUUUUGCACAUAUUUCUUUCUCUGAGGUUGAGGUAACUAGGUGUCACGUAGUAAAACUCCAACAUGCAGAGUUAAGGAUAAAGGAGAGACAGCAAAAACAAGAACGAGCCAGAGUCAGGUACACAGUAAUAGGGAAACAAGACAGGCAAGGGUUAAAGACAAACUCAGUCAGAGUCAGGAACAAAGUCAAAUGUCAAUAUCAGAUUAAACACAAUUAAUCAAAGAACACACUAAAGGGUACUUUGAACAGAAACCACAAAAGGGCACAGCAGAUAGGACCAGAAAGGUUUAAAUACCUUUAAGUGUGUUCUGAUUGGUCCGUGUCAUGCCUGCUACUCCAAAACUUGUGUGUAUGGAGGCAAUUGAAUAACGUGGACCAAUGGUUGCCAGAAGUGACAUGGAGCUACCACUGCCCCUUUAAGUACGUGCUCUGUAUGCAAGCAGCAUUCUCUCUUAUUACAUUCGACCCGCGCAACCGAUCAUACUAAUUAGUGUGUGUGGCCUGCUCCAAAGCAGGAGUGCUAGUGGAGGAUUCUGGCCAGCACGAGGAACGGGUAACCCUACACCAGGAUAAUAAAAGGCUUAUGAUUUCACUUGGGAAGUUUUUGUUUAAGAUAGAGGCUCAUGGUAAUGGAAAUGCUUUUUCAGAAUUACUUCUUUCAUCAUAAUUCUUCAGAUCCUAUGAAUCAACUGCACCUUAAAGAACUGUGGAUGCAGUAAUGAUGUAGUUUAAAGAAUAAUACUGGCAAAUAAGGCAGAGGUGGAGUUUAAAUUUAAUGCAUAUGAUGUAAGUAAAAAAAAAUAGUGUAUUUAACAAAAUUUGCUAAAGUUUAUAUUAAAUACUUUUAUUCACAGCUUUCUCUGGCUAGUUGCACAUCUUCAACUAAUCUAGAGAUCUCUAACUGAAAUUUAAACUGACUUCUAAUUUAGGAAGCUGGCUGAUAACUAAGCAGUGUGACUGUUCUUCAGCUGUCCGUCACAUUACUCCUCACAGCAAAACGUAAACUAGUUUGUAAGUUUACAAACAACAUUGAUGACAAACUGAAUUCUGAUUACAAUUUAAAUCCUGUUUGACCUGUGCAAGGCAUUAUAGAGCAAUGACAAACAUUAAUUUGGAAUAAAUUACAAUGUUUAUUAAACAAAAUUCUGUCUCACGUAGAAAUUAAUAUAGUAGAAGCAAUAAAUGACAACAUAUCUUCCAUUUGUUGCUGUUUUUACUUCUGCAGCGUCUUUGCAAUCACAGUAAGCUGGCUCCUUAGGCUUUCCCUUUUCUCCUUUAAAUGGCCUUCCAAAGACCUGGCUUCUUUAAGGAUUUCAUCAAACUCCUGCACAUACGAGGCGUCUACAACAGAUUGCUCACUUCACAUUAAAAAAAAUAUAUAUAUAUAAAUAUAUUUUUAAAAUCUUAACAUAAAUCAAAAGAAAAUAAUGUCUAGUGCUGGCAAGUAAAAAAGAAAAAUAAUACAUACAAUAAGGACAUAGCUCAACAUUUUCUAUGAUAGUAGACUUUCUGUUUACUCCACAAAUAAUUAUGAGAAUGAGACCUAAUGUCACCCAUGUUCCAGUUCCCUGAAACUCCUCUUUAAAUUAGAAAGCCCUCUCAUAAAACCAGUCAUGGUGGAGAAGUACAGAAAUCCUCUCCCUUUUUUUAGAACACGCUAACUCAUUGUCACCGUAUUAUAUACACAGCAGUGAUUAAAGGGAACUCUGACUUGUGUUCUAGCUGCAUGCCAUUAAAUUUAACUCUGAUCUCCCUGACAAGUCUACUAUCUGUGCAACAACUUGAGGUCAUGGAAAAAAUCGCACUAAACACCACACAUUUAUACUUAGGUGUUCAGCUCCAUUUCCCCAGAUAAGGCAAGUCAAUAUCUUGUACAGAUGCCCCUCGAAGAUCCAUUUGAUAAAUUUGCUUGUAAUUAAUUACCUGUCCAUUCAGGGGAGAACAACCACACACACCUAAGACCUACGGGGUGGUUUCUCAGCAACAGGAAGGAAAUAAGUGCAUAACUGCAUAGCACGGACUAUCAAGCACCUGUGGGGAGCACGUUGUGAUCUUAACUCAAAAACUUCCUGUCAUCAUAAAUUUUGCAGGGUAAUUAAAAAUACCAAAUCUUAGGUUCCCUUUAUGAGCUUUGCUGCUUCAGAAAAUGAAUACAAAUCUACAGGCGAUACUCAAAAAAUUAGAAUAUCAUGCAAAACUUCAUUUAUUUCAGUAAUGCAACGUAAAAGGGGAAACGAAUAUAUGAGAUAGACGCAUUACAUGCAAAGCGAGAUAGUUCAAGCCGUGAUUUGUCAUAAGUGCGAUGAUUAUGGCUUACAGAUCAUGAAAACAACAAAUCCGCAAUUUCAGUAAAUUAGAAUAUUGUGAAAAGGUGCAAUAUUCUAGGCUCACAGUAUCCCACUCUAAUCAGCUAAGUAUGCCAUAACACCUGCAAAGGGUUUCUGAGCCUUUAAAUGGUCUCUCAGUCUGGUUCAGUAGGAAUCACAAUCAUGGGGAAGACUGCUGACCUGACAGUUGUGUAGAAAACCAGCAUAAGGAGGGAAAGCCUCAAAAGGUAAUUGUGAAGGAAGUUGGAUGUUCCCAGUGCUGUAUCAAAGCACAUUCAUAGAAAGUUAUGUGGAAGGGAAAAGUGUGGAAGAAAAAGGUGCACAAGCCUCAGGGAUGACCGCAGCCUGGAGAAAUUGUCAGGAAAAGGCCAUUCAAAUGUGUUGGGGACUUUCACAAGGAGUGGACUGAGGCUGGAGUCAGUGCAUCAAGAGCCACCACACACAGACAGAUCCUGGACAUGGGAUUCAGAUGUCGUAUUCCUCUUGUCAAGCCGCUCCUGAACAACAAACAAUGUCAGAAGCGUCUUACCUGGGCUAAAGAAAAACAGACCUGGUCUGUUGCUCAGUGGUCCAAAGUCCUCUUUUCUGAUGAGAGCAACUUUUGCAUCUCAUUUGGAAACCAAGGACCCAGAGUCUGGAGGAAGAAUUGAGAGGCACUCACUGCAAGACGCUUGAAGUCCAGUGUGAAGUUUCCACAGUCUGUGUUGAUUUGGGGAGCCAUGUCAUCUGCUGGUGUUGGUCCACUGUGCUUCAUUAAGUCCAGGGUCAACGCAGCCGUCUACCAGGAGAUUUUGGAGCUCUUCAUGCUUCCUUCCGCAGACAAGCUUUAUGGGGAUGCUGACUUCAUUUUCCAGCAGGACUUGGCACCUGCCCACACUGCCAUAAGCACCAAAGCCUGGUUCACUGACUGUGGGAUUACUGUGCUUGAUUGGCCAGCAAACCCACCUGACCUGAACCCCAUAGAGAAUCUAUGGGGCAUUGCCAAGAGAAAGAUGAGAGACAUGAGACCGAACAAUGCAGAAGAGUUGAAGGCCGCUAUUGAAGCAUCCUGGUCUUCAAUAACACCUCAGCAGUGCCACAGGCUGAUAGCUUCCAUGCCACGUGGCAUUGAGGCAGAAAUUGCUCCAAAAGAGGCCCAAAAGAGUCCAUAUGCAUGCUUAUACUUUUCCGAGGUCCGAUAUUGUACACUCCUUGUUUUAUUGAUUGCAUGCAAUAUUCUAAUUUACUGAGAUUGUGGAUUUGGGGUUUUCAUGAGCUGUAAGCCAUAAUCAUCGCACUUAUGACAAAUCACGACUUGACCUAUCUUGCUUUGCAUGUAAUGCGACUAUCUCAUAUAUUAGUUUCCCCUUUUACGUUGCAUUACUGAAAUAAUUGAAAUUUUGCACGAUAUUCUAAUUUUUUGAGUAUCACCUGUACAGACUUUGACCAACUCCUGUUGGAGGUAGAAACAGAACUGAUAUAUGGAUGAAGACGUGCUAUGGUGGUAGGAGUAAAUUGUUGUUAUUAAUGGUCCUUUCCCUAACACCAAGUGGGGAAUGAAUUUAAAAUGUGACUACUUGAGGAUCUACCCAUCUUAAGAGGAACCCAUAUUUAUUUCUAGGACACAAUUAAACCAAGUACAUGCACAUAGGAUUUUGGAUCCAGGAAAUUAGGGCGUGUCAAUAAAUAUAUCAAAAGAAGUUGUUAAUUAUGUAAUUAAAAUCACAGAUUUUUGUGAAGAGUCAUAUUACUUUAUGCUGGUAUCAGUGAAAAUGAUAUAGCAAUAUUAUACUAUUUAUACAUACCUCAAUGUCCUUGCAUACUUAGAAAAAAAUAGGUUUAUUUCCUUGCUUAAAUCUAUUAAUGAAAACGGAAUAUUGAAUGUUAGUAUUGCCAUAGUCACAGAUGUAUUUUUGUUGCAGGGAUAGCUCUAAAAUAAAUAUACCUUUUAUUAUACUUUCUAUAUCACCAAAUUGAGGGUUGUUUGAAUGAAUUGAAGAUGGCUUUGCUGAUGAGGAACUGUGCAGAAUCUCUGAAUCCUUAAUCUAUAACAUAAUUGAUAAAAAAAACUUACUGUCAUGGCCAACGGUAUAACUGAAUUAUCUCACAAAACACUGUUAGGGUUAUUCACUUAUAGGACCAAUAUAGGGUCAGGAAUACAAACAAACAUUGUGGAGCACUGGCCCAGGAAGCACCUUUAGUGGUUGUCUGAGCAUCUACCACUAGAUGUGUCCCCAGGGAGCAAUGUAAAUACUGCCUUUUUUUGAGUCAUAAUUCUUGCAAAGCAUCAGGAGAGAUGUAGUCUACAGCAUCUGGAGUGCUUAAGAUUACAAUCCAAAUGUCUAGAAGUGGCCAGUGAAAUUCAUAUUUCAGGCCAAAUCAGAAAACAAAAAUCUCCACCUCAGGUGUGUUUCAAGUUUAGCAAUUUUGCUCUGACAGGGUUAUUUACUGAAAUGAGAAUUCAAGUGAAAUCAAAGUGAAUCCUCUGUCACUGAUAAUGAAUGGAUGAUUGUAGACUAUUUGACACACACGAGGUGGUGCCCCAUUUGGUAUUUUUAUAUAUUUCUUUCAGUUUGUAAUCAAUUUAUUUUUCUUAUCCAUUGGAACCUAACAGGGUUAUUCACUAAAGUGAGAAUUGAAAGUUAAUUUUAAUUUAGAAGCCAAAAUAGCUUAACUGGAAUCAUACCUGACUACAGCUGUGCAAAGUUAGUGUCAAACCAUCUUUAAGUGUUUUGACAAAGUAAUUCUCUCCUGGUGCCUACAAAAAUAUGUCUAGUAAAUUUCAUAUCUGGAGAAAGACUGCGGCAAUACACAGCAUAUACUACCCAAGCAAUAUUGAAAGAAAACUCAAAAUUCUAUGAGGGCACUGGGUGAGGUCAUAUCAGCGUACAGGGACAUAUCAGGCUUUAAGGCGAACAUGACAAAAUCUAGCGAACUCCCCAUAAAAAAGUGUGAAACAGAUAUUGUCCAAACACAUGAAACACAUCACAUCAAGAUAGAAACGCGCUCCCUUAAAGGGACACUAUAGUCACCCAGACCACUUCAGCUCAAUGAGGUGGUCUGGGUGCCAGGUCCCUGCCUGCUGUAAACAUAGCGGUUUUAGAGAAACUGCUAUAUUUACAUUUGGGGUUAAGCCAGCCUCUAGUGGCUAUUUUCCGGACAGCCAAUAGAGGCGCAUCUGCGAUGCUGGAGGCAUAGUAUGCCUCCAUCACGCAGAGCGUCCAUAGGAAAGCAUUGAGAAAUACUUUCCUAUGGUCACUUUGAAUGCGCGUGCGCCGUGCCGCGCAUGCGCAUUCCGUUCCGCUGAUGUCAGACGGGGUAGCUGACGUUGGCAGGGGAGGAGAGGUAAGGGAACCCGGCGGUGGAUUAAGAUGAGUAACUGAAGGGGUUUUAACCCUAACCCUAACGACCUAUACUCCUGCAACUACACGCCACUAUACACUCUAAUAAGUGACAUGGAAUGGUGGACCGACAAAACAAUCUACUGGAUAGGAAGGAUCCACUUUGUGAAGAUGAAUAUUUUGUCAAGAGCCCUGUUCCUCUUCCAGGCAUUGCCGGUACCCCUAACCAAAGCUCAACUGAACCCGCUUCAAUGGGCAAUGGGAAACUUCGUGUGGCAGAAUAAAAAACACCGCAUAUCUAGACAUAUCCUGUACUGACAUAAAGUGAGAGGAGGUCUCGGGCUCCCAAACUUAUUUUACUAUUAUGCAGCGGCACAGUGGGUUCAGAUAGUGUUGUGGCAUUCACCCCCUGAUAAACGGAAAUGUGUGGAGAUAGAAUCACUCAUGAUGGGUGCAGACCUCCUCCAGUUUGCGAUGUGGGUCCCCAAGGAACAUAGGCCUUUAAUUAGGGACACUUGCCCGGCAAUCUUGAAUUCCCUCAGACUGUGGGAUACUUGCGGCCCGAAAUUUGGCCUGGCGUCCUUCCCCUCCCCCUUCAUGCCGCUGUUACGCAACAGGGCAUUUUACUCUGGUAUAGAGGCCAAGAACUUUAGGAAUAUCGAACGCGCAGGCCUCCAGAGGAUCAUUCACCUAUACAGGGGCAUGGAGAUAAUCACUUUUGAUGAACUCAAACAGGGAAGACACCUCACACCUAACAACUUUUUUAGAUAUUUACAGAUUAAAGACUUUGCCAGACAGCCUCACAUAAAAACUUUAGCACACAAGAAGCUGACUUUUUUCGAAUCUAUGUGCGACUCAGGGACUAUACCAAGAGGACUCAUACCACAACUUUACACACACUUAUGUUCGGAGACCCGGGAAUGGGGGGUAUUGACCUAUAUCACCCAGUGGGAAAGGGAUCUGGGGGAGGAACUUGAGGGAAUAGAAUGGCAGGAAAUAUGGGAAGCUAGCAGAACCACCUCCAUGUGCGUGACAUUGCAGGAACAGUUCUUUAAAGCGAUGUUACAAUGGUAUACGACCCCAGUCAAACUAUUUAAGAUGAACAAAACCACUACAGACGACUGUUGGAGGGGGUGUGGGGAAAAAGGGUCAUACCUACAUAUGUGGUGGGAAUGUUCGAAGAUAGCCAGGUUUCGGAGGGCGUUGAGGGACCUCCUGACACAAGUGUUUUCCAGAGCCCCGGACCUAGACCCCUGGGUAUACCUCUUGAAUAGACCUAUGGACGGGUGGACAAGAAGGAAGCAAAAAUUGAUCCACAAAAUCACCCUGGCCGCAAGGCGAGCAAUAGCAUUUACGUGGUUACAACCUGAAGUGCCACACAUAGCGAGUGUAAUAACGAGGAUUAGAGAAGCACGGUUAAUGGAUGACCUGACGGCUAGGAUGCGGGGGUCCACCGGAACAUUCCAGAGGCUAUGGGAGCUGUGGGACGAGAGCCCACUGAAUACUUAAAACUCGAAGGGCGCCUCUGUGCGUGCCCCACUUGGUCCCCUCGCCCUUCCCUCCUCCUACCCGCCUGCGCCUAACCGCUCCGCCUUUUCUUUUCUUUCCUUUUCUUCUUACAUCUUCUAUUCUCAUUCCAUUCCUUCAAUCUCUACUUACACUUUCUACUUAUCAGAUAACAUGGCCCUUUAAUACAGGGCACGUGGAAUAAGGCGUAAAGGUACAAAUAGAACUGUAAUCUAUCUACGAGAAAGAGCAAGCUACACUAUGCAAAAGAUAAUGUUUAUGUUGCCAUAGUACCUGGUUAAACGUUUAAAUAACAACAACAAAAAUUGUAAAAUGUGCAUCUAUGUAAAGCCAGACACAGAAAGUCUCCUGUACAAUAUUGAUUAUAUGCAAGAUAUGUGCUUGGCAUUGUCAGCUUAGAUUUAUGUAUUGCACAACAAAAAUAAAGAAUUUAAAACAAAAAAAAGAAGACCCAAAUUGAUUUUUUUAAAUUGAUUUUUACAAAUUAGUAGAUAUUACACAAUAAAAACAUGCAUGAUUUUAAUAAUGUAUUUUUACACUGGUGCUAUAUAUAAAAACUACUUGUUAAAUCUGCAGAUCUCUUGUCUAAAGUCUUUGCAAGCCCUCCCCUUCUAGCUGGACCAGACACCCAGACCACUUCAUUAAGCUGAAGUGGUCUGGGUGCCUAUAGUGGUCAUUUAAGCGAAAGUGGUUUAGGUUUUUGAAGUGUCUAUUUAACAUGACAAUCAAUCCAGACCGUAAAAAUCAGUUAAUGGCAAUAUAUUUAGAUAUCUAGAAACAUAGAAUAUGAUGGCAGAUAAGAAGCCUUUUGCCUAUCCCAUGCAUGCUUAAAUCCUUCACUGUGUUAACCUCUACCACUUCAGUUAUUAUUAUUAUUAUUAUUAUUAUGAUAUUUAUAGAGCGCAGUCAAAUUCCGCAGCGCUAUACAAUGGGUGGACGAACAGACAUGUAGUUGUAACCAGACAAGUUGGACACACAGGAACAGAGGGGUUGAGGGCCCUGCUCAAUGAGCUUGCAUGCUAGAGGGAGUGGGGUAUAGUGACACAAAAGGUAAGGGAAGUAUUAGACUCAUGACAGUUACAAGAGAGGAAUCAGUCAGGAGCUAUUAACAGUUUAAUUGAUACGCUUUUAUGAAGAGGUGGGUUUUUAACGAUUUUUUGAAGGAGUGGAGACUGGGUGGGAGGAGGGAAGCGAGUUCCACAGGAACGGUGCAGCCCUCGAGAAAUCUUGAAGGCGAGCAUCAGUUGGAAGGCAAUUCCAUGCAUCCACUACCCUCUCAGUAAAGUAAUACUUCCUGAUAUUAUUUUUAAACGUUUGCUCCUCUAAUUUAACACUUCUUGUGGAAUAAAUCUUAAAUUAGAGGGGCAAAGGUUCGCAAACCAAAUUUGUUAAUGCAUUCUUAUUUUUAAAAUUACCAAGGGCUGGUAUUAUGAGAGCACAUUUACUUCAAUUUAAAGUUAUAAAACAACAUGCUAUAGUUUUACUCAAAAAUGUCCUUACCUCAGUAUCCUUUUUGCGUUUAAAACUUUUAUUUUCAUCAGAAUUCUGAGCCUUACUUGCCAUUGUCACCUGCAGGAACUGAAAACUAUAAACAUAAAUGACAUUAAAUGUUUUGUGUAUUCCUGAUAAUCAGAAACAUAUUAAUUUGCACUGAGCUGAUAUAAGACUUAAAGAGACAGUCAUCAGCACUUUUAUAAACUGGGAUUAAACUAGAAUACUCCUCACCCAGCCAGUCUCCCUGCAGCUGGCCCCAUCUAUAUGGCUGAGAUAAUCAAGUUUGAUGAUCUUUGCCAAUCCAAUACUUUGCCAUAGGAAAGCACAGAGAAGCUAUUGCGCAUGCGCUUCAAAACGCUUGGCCAAUCAGCAUCUUCUCAUAGGGAUGCAUUUAAUCAAUGCAUCUAUAUGGGGAAUGUUCAGUGCCUCCAUGCAGAGCGUGAAGGAGCUGAAUGUAGGUGCUGCAUACCAUGCAGCACUGGGAUAGUAAGCACAUUAGUGGCUGUCUGAGUGACUGUCACUCAGGGCCGUCUUUCCCCAUGGGCACGCUGGGCAGUUGCCCGGGGUCCGCACAAGCAUGGCCAGUGUGCACCGCGUUGACCAGUGUGCCUGGCUGACAGGGGAGACCCUUUGAUCUCCCCUGACAGCCCAUGGAGAGCUGGCCCUGCCCUCUUGCCAGGGGCCCUCUCGGGCCGGUGAGGAAGUUUCUCCCUCAGCGGCCCAAAGGCCCUCCGUUAGAGAAGAGAGGGAGGACCCGGAGGCAGGGGGAAGGACCUUGCGCGAGCAGGCUGUGUGGAGCAUUGUUGCACGUUGCCAUGGCAACGCUCCAGACAGCAUUCUGCGCAUGUGAGGACAGGAGACAGCCUGCAGCCAGAGGAGCUGCAGGCUAAACAGAACUAACUACCGGACCACCAAGGCUGGUUGUGUCCCCUCCCUCCUUUACUAAAGGUAAGAAGAAAGGAGGGGACAUGAAGAUUUUAAUAAUCAUUUUUUAUUAUUAUUAUUAUUUUUAAAUGAUUAAAAAAAAAUAAUAAACAUUUGCUCCCUGCCCCCUCACACUCUGCAAAACACACACACAGCACCAUCUCUCUCACAAACACUGCACCCCUUAUACACAGACCUCUCACACACACACAGCACCCCUUAUACACAGCUCCUUCUCAUACACACACACAGCACCCCUAAUACAUAGCACUCAUUACACACACACAGCACCCUUCACAAACACACACACACACAGCACCCUUCAUAAACACACACACUGCACCCUCUCACACACAUCACCCCUCAAAAACACACUGCACCACUCACACACACACAUAUACACCGUACCCCUCACUGCAGUCUGGUAGUAUUCAGCAUUCUGGGAGUAUUUAGCAGUGUGUGUGUGUUUGUAUUCAGCAGUCUGGGUGUAUUUAGCAGUCUCUGUGUAUUCACCAGUGUGUGUGUGUAUUUAGCAACUUGUGUGUAUUCAGCAGUCUGUUUGUGUGUACUCAGCAGUCAGUCAGUGUGUGUAUUCGGUAGUCUGUGUGUGCGGGUGUAUUCGGCAGUCGGUGUGAGCGCGUGUAUUCGGCAGUCGGUGUGUGCGUGUAUUCAGCAGUCUGUGACUAUUUUCAGCAGCCUGUGUGUAUGUAUGUAUUGCAUUUGGUGAAGGUACCAAUAUAUAAGCUUAAAUUUAUCGAUAAUUUACAUUAUUAUUUCUGUGAGUUGUUGUGCAGACAGGGCCUGCACUACUUUGCCCAGGGGCCCAUAAUUCUAUUAAGAUGGCACUGCUGCCACUAGAGGUAUCAUUAGUAUAAACACAACCUUUUCUCUGACAAUUCAGUGUUUACAUUGGAAAGCCUGCACGGACAGGCUAUAGACACCAGAACCACUACAUUAAGCUGUAGUGGUCCUGGUUACUAUAGUGCCUCUUUAAAACAUUUAUUUUUGCAGUUGAAAAGUAAGUUUAAAAAACCUGGUUCCUAACUUUUUUAGCUGUCUCCUAGAUUCAAAGCAAAUUUGUUCGGCUUGUGGUUUAUAUAAAGUAUGUGGUUUAUAAAGAGCCUGUGGUUUAUAUAACGCUUGCGGUUUAUAUAAAGUAUGUGGUUUAUAAAGAGCCUGUGGUUUAUAUAACGCUUGCGGUUUAUAUAAAGUAUGUGGUUUACACAGAGCUUGUGGUUUAUAUAGAGUCCGUGGUUUAUACAGAGUAUGCGUUGUAUAUAGACUCUGUGGUUUAUACAGAGUCAGUAUGUUUUUUAUAACACUUGCGGUUUAUAUAAAGUAUGUGGUUUAUACAGAACCUGUGGUUUAUAUAAAGUCUGUGGUGUAUACAGGGUAUGUGGUUUAUACAAAAUAUGUGGCUUGUACAGAGCUUGUGGUGUAUACAGAGUCUGUGGUUUAUAUAGUCUGUGGUUUAUACAGAGUCUGUGGUUUAUAUAAAGUCUGUGGUUUAUUCAGAGUAUGUGGUUUAUAUAAAGUCUGUGGUUUAUACAGAAUCAUCAUGUUUUUUUAUAACACUUGCGGUUUAUAUAAAGUAUGUGGUUUAUACAGAGCUUGUGGUGUAUGCAGAGUCCGUGGUUUAUAUAAAAAAUGUGGUUCAUACAGAGUCUUUAUGUUUUUUUAUAACACUUGCGGUUUAUAUAAAGUAUGUGGUUUAUAGAGCCUGUAGUUUAUACAGUCCGUGGUUUAUACAGAGAAUAUAGUUUAUAUCAGUGGUUCCCAAACCAGUCCUUGUGGCCCACCAGCAGUCCAGGAUUUAUGUAUUUCCCUUUAUUAUUCCAAUGGAGAUACUAACAAAACCUGGACUGUUGGUGGGUCUUGAGGACUGGUUUGGGAAACGUUGGUUUAUAUAAUUUGUGGUGUAUACAGAGUAUGUGGUUUAUACAGAACCUGUGAUUUAUACAGAGUAUGUGGUGUAUAUAGACUAUGUGGUUUAUACAAAGGUUUGUGGCUCAUAUAUAACGCUUGCGGUUUAUAUAAAGUACGUGGUUUAUACACAGUAUGUGGUUUAUACAGGGUCUGUGGUUUAUACAGAGUAUGUGGUUUAUACAGGAUAAGUAGUUUAUAUAGAGUAUGAAGUUUAUACAGUAUAUAAUUUAUAUAAUUUGUGGUUUAUACAGAGUAUGUGGUUUAUACCGAGUAUGUGGUUUAUACAGGGUAUGUUGUUUAUAUAGAGUAUAUGGUUUAUACCGAGUAUGUGGUUUAUACAGUCUGUGGUUUAUACAGAGUAUGUGGUUUAUACAGUAUGUGGUUUAUAUAGAGUAUAUGGUUUAUACAGAGUAUGUGGUUUAUACCGAGUAUGUGGUUUAUACAGUCUGUGGUUUAUAUAGAGUAUGUGGUUUAUACAGUCUGUGGUUUAUAUAGAGUAUGUGGUUUAUACAGUCUGUGGUUUGUAUAGAGUAUGUGGUUUAUACAGUCUGUGGUUUAUACAGGGUCUGUGGUUUAUACAGAGUAUGUGGUUUAUACAGGGUAGGUAGUUUAUAUAGAGUAUGAAGUUUAUACAGUAUACAGUUUAUAUAAUUUGUGGUUUAUAUAAUUUGUAGUUUAUACAGUAUAUAGUUUAUAUAAUUUGUGGUUUGGUACAUAGCCUGUGUUAGUCACAAUAUGGCCGCCCCUUCCCUCACCUUGCUCUGUGUCUGUGAGGGAGCAGGGGUUCAGUUAACACUGUGUCCAGCAGGGGUCGCACGUGGAUCGCUCUGGUAGCCAAUCAGCGUGCUCAGCCCCUGCAAUGCCUGCAUGCAUCUGAGGUAAACCGGCUCCGCCCACUUCAGUAACUGUGCUUCCCAUUGGGUGCCGUGUGUCACUGACUAAAAAUGGUAAAAGAGAGGGAAAGUAGGCUGGCAGGGGGCUUGUGAGGGACAGUGUUUAGAGACUGUAAACUGGGAACUUCUGCCUCAGGAGCCAUCAAUAGUGAGGGUCCAAGAACUGCUCCCCCCUCAGACACUCAGUGUGCCAUUAUUAUUAUUAUUAUUAUUAUUAUUACUAUUACUGCUGUGAUUUCUGUAGUAAGACAUUAGGGCUAGCACUGAUUUCACAGAGAGUCAAUCACCCUAUUGGUGCAGAAGGUGGAGGAAUUAAUGUUUAUCUGGAAUAUUGGACUGGGGAGAGUUAGUGAUAUGUAGGGGGGACAAGAACUGAAAAUGGAACUAAUAAUGUGGGAUCUUUGUAAUGGCUGCAGUGGGUAUUGCCUCAUACAGAGCUUGUGGAAGUUGCCCAGGGCCUGUAGGGACAUACGGAGCAAGUCGGGGUAAAGGCAAUCAGAGCAGGUGGUUAGUACAGAGCCUGUCGUUUAUACAGGCUUAUCGCAUGAGAGGGCAGGAAGGGGGCAGCUGGUGCAGGCUAAUCGUAUGAGAGGGCAGGAAGGGGGCAGCUGGUGCAGGCUAAUCGUAUGAGAGGGCAGGAAGGGGGCAGCUGGUGCAGGCUAAUCGCAUGAGAGGGCAGGAAGGGGCAGCUGGUGAUCGCAUGAGAGGGCAGGAAGGGGCAGCUGGUGCAGGCUAAUCGUAUGAGAGGGCAGGAAGGGGGCAGCUGGUGCAGGCUAAUCGCAUGAGAGGGCAGGAAGGGGCAGCUGGUGCAGGCUAAUCCAUGAGAGGGCAGGAAGGGGCAGCUGGUGCAGGCUAAUCGCAUGAGAGGGCAGGAAGGGGGCAGCUGGUACAGGCUAAUUGCAGAAGGGGGCAGUUGGUAUAGGCUAAUUGCAUGAGCAGGCAGCAAGGGGGCAGUUGGUACAGGCUAAUCGUAUGAGAGGGCAGGAAGGGGGCAGUUGGUGCAGGCUAAUUGCAGAAGGGGGCAGUUGGUAUAGGCUAAUUGCAUGAGCAGGCAGCAAGGGGGCAGUUGGUACAGGCUAAUCGUAUGAGAGGGCAGGAAGGGGGCAGUUGGUGCAGGCUAUUUUGACAUGUACAAAAUGGGGGUUCAUUGAAAAUACUACAUAGAUUGUCAAUCAGUCUCUACUGCGCCUUUUAUUGCAACUUGGCAGUAAGGCGCAGUAGAAGCAGCAAUUUACUUCAAAAAUAGCGUAUACUGCUAUGGUUGCAGUAUGGUUAUGGUAUUCUAUCUAUUUAGAGUUAUGAAGAAUGUCAUAAAAGACUGAUGGAAUGGAAACUUAGAGUUUGCAUAGAGACAUAUGUACUGGAUGAAAAUAAAUUGAAUAACUAAAUUAUACAUAAUUUCAGAAUUGCAUUCGUUUUUGUUUCGGUUUUCAGGGACAUUACAAAAUUACCAUAAUACAAUUUUAUUAAUAGUGAUUGGUUCUUGUGCUACAUAGCUGUGAAACACCAAUGUAUCAGCCACUAGGUGGCGCCAUUAGCUGUAAAUAGAAGUUGUCAUCCAAACAAAUCAAAACAACACCUGGAAUUUGAGCUAUAUGUCUGUUCAACCAUAAUUCACCUCUUUCAUAUUAAGUCCAUAAGGAUGCAUGACAAAAAUUUUGAUUCAUGCUUUUCCUUCACUUCGGUCAUGCAGUAAUUUUCCAACAGGUACUGUUUUCAUGUUGGAAACUGGGAACCCCAGGUAUCAGGGCCGAUCCUAGGGUCACAGACGCCUAGGUGCAGAAUUUUUUUUUGGCACCCCUUGUGGGUGUGGUCAUUUUACUAACUCUUCCCCCUUGUCAAUGUCUAAGAGAGACACAUGACAAACGCAUACUGGCAGACACACUCUCACUGAUUUGAAACACACACACUGACAGACAGACACACUCACUGACAGACACAAAUAUUUACUGAAUCAAAGACACACCUUUGCUGCAAUCCUCAAUGCCUGUAUUGAUUGAGAAAGGUAGUGGUCGUUUUCAGUAAGAUUGCUGUGCAUAUGUACUUUUGGACAGGGCACAUCGCUUAUAUAGCUUGAGGAUGUAAAACAAAUGGUUAAAACAAGUGCAAAAACGGCGCUUGAAAAAUCAAUCUUAAGAAUAUAUAUAUAUAAUAUGUAGCAGCACCUCUUUUAAGAGUGAGUCCUAACCCUUAUCAAUACAACAAAAAUAUAUAUAAGACGUGUGCUGUGUCUUUAAGUAUUUAAAAGUGCAAAUGCAAUUCAAAUUUCAUGCAAACGAUUAGUGUAACUCUUAAUAUAAAUUACUAUAUACCAUACACCUUUUAUAUAUCAUACAAGUGAAAGUGCACUGUGCAUAGAUAUAAUAUGCCAAACGUGCAAAAAGGUAAAAAAAUACUUGUACAAGCACAACGUAACCACCAGCAAGCGGGCCUACCUCACAGCACCGAGCACAGCCACCGCCACCGCCAAAGAGUGCCCCAGCGAACCGGACAAAGACAUCACCUACCGUCAACAUCAGCACAGAUCUUCAUAGAGACAGGCGGCCGAGAAAACCAACGACACCCACAACGUUCCACCUUGCUCGGCCCCAGCAGGACUCUCAAGCACCCGCAAAGCUCUCUCCUAAGUGGGGCAUAGGCUGACAGGGCACCCACACCCCAGGAGAGCCCCUACAUAGUGCCUCUGCUGCUCAGGACGCUACCCAGACCCUACAACAGCCUCCUCAACCGAGAUUGGCUUAAAACUUAAGUAACCCUCAAUGCCUGAAUGUGUUUUAUCAUUCUUGUUUUUCCCUUCAGCGCUUAGCAUUUUUAUACCAAUAAUCUCCUAAUUGUACCAUAUUAUGUUAUUCAUAUGAGGCCUUGUCCCCAUAGGGCCUGUUACCUGCUACUCACAUAUUGCUAAGCCUGUUGCCAGGCACUCUCUUGAGUCCCUCUACCUUUCUUUUUUUUUUUUUAUUCUUUAUUUUUGCGUGCAUGAAAAUAUAACAAGUGGGCUCGUCAUGCCCCAACAGCUUGACAAGCAUAUAAACAAACACUUAACCAUUGGGUUGCAUGUAGAAUAUUCUGCACAUUUUUGUAGAGUAGUGUUUGAGUAAACUAUAGUUAGCUUGUGCACAUAGUAAAACAAGUUGAAUAUAACUGUUGCUUUAGAUUAGUUAACGAGUACUAUAAGACAUGUUUUGGUUGAUGAUGUGGUUAGUGUAUAUGCGAUCAAUCAAGUAAGUUAAGCAGCAGGCUAUGUGUUGCAGCAAUAAUCAUAAUAACCCCUGCAGGCAUUCGACUAGAUAAGUAUGGGAUUGUGCAAAAUGUGUAUGUGUCUGAGCUCUAAGCUUCAUUCAGUUAAGUGAUUGACAGGUUGUUCCUAGUCUUAAAUUGACCUAGUAGCGCCAGAAACCACUGGCUCUGCAUCCAUGCAGUGCUUCAGUGAGCAAAGCAGAGAUCCAGUUAAUGCUUAGGACCUAAGUGGCAAAAGGCUGCGCUUAACAAUAAAAACAGAAUAUAAACAGGUCUGAGAAUAUGAGUAUCAUAUGUAUGGUAGGGUAUACAAGCAGUUAAUGUCAAUGGCUAGCGAUCGGGACACAUGUCAGGCUGUGUUGCCAGAUGUGGCAAGGGACAAAAGUGGCAUCAGCCUGAGUCUCACAUGUGUAGAUCACCCUAUUCCCACUCUCACCGCACCAGUCCCACUGAAUGACCAAAGUUCAUCGGUUCCUUCCAUGGCCGGUCAUGGAUGAGCUCUUUGCUUUUCCAGUCCUCCGGUCAGCAACCCUGCUGCGUCGCGGGGGGUGUCUCGGUAUAGUCCAUGCGUUCCCCCAUGUGGGUUAGUGCCUUGCUGUUUAGCAGUUGCUGGGGUUGCCGCGUGUUCGGCCUGUCGCGUGCAGCAGUGUGUCUUGCUUUGAAGCCUGGGAACAGGAAUAGUGCUGCCUGGGGAGCAUGGCGCUGUUUCCCGCCUUGUAGUUUUGCGGCUACUUUUCUCUCGGGAUGCUGCUCCUUAGUCGCGGGUGAGGUUUUCCCGCAGACUGCGCUGGGUAGUUGGACGGAUCCAUGCUUCCACGGCUCUUAUUGCCUGUCUGAAGAGUUGUCUCCGGGCACGCAGCUUCGUCCAGAGGUGUACAUAGAAUUCCGUGAUGUGUUUGGGUGGCUUGGUGAGUGUGUGCCUUGUCUUAGUCUGCCGCUGGGCCGCCAUCUUGGUUAGGCCCUGAUGGUUCUGGGUGCUUAAGGGUUUCGUCGCUCGGGUUCUCAGCGAUAUGGGGGUAUUCGCCCCCAGCGAGGACCGGGAUAGGGCCGCCGGUCCAUAGGGGGGGGUGGCAGGGCUGGUAUAUAUUCUCACUGGUGAGCGUGUCCCGGGCCGUGGGAUUGGCCGCCUCCCCCGGACCACAUGUCCCGCUCUGGCGUAGGCCGCAUGGCCGGUUUCAGCUUUUCUUCGGCACUCUGGUGCCGGGCUGGUAUCAUUUUAAAGCUUGUGUUGUCCCGUGCCCUUUGCUGGUCACCGUGUGCCGUUAGUGCUAUCGGACUGCUCAGUAUCUCCGCUCUUUGGUCUGAUGCUGCAGGAGCUCUGAGAUUAUGCGGCCGGCCAUCUUGGCUGUCAGGCCCCACCCCCCCUCUACCUUUCUUAUACUCUUGUCUUAUAAGCAUGUACCAUAUCAAAGUAUUCAUGUCACCACACACACCUGUGCGACUCAUAGUCACCGCUACACUCACACGCCUAAACACACAGGUCAUACAUGUAACAAUAGUGCACUAACUAUCUCACUAAAGAUGUGUGCAGAUACUUCUUGUAUUUUCCUUUAAUUUAAAAAUGUGCUUAUGCAGCAAAAUGAAGCAAAGUAUUAACUUUCGAAGAUCCAUGCCUUACGCAACCUGUUUCAUUGUAAUAUUUGCAUGUUCUUGCACUCGUUAUUGUGACGAUGCAGGAGAAUUAGUUCACUUGUGCACAAUAAAAAUAAAGAAUUUAAAAAUACUUAUACCACAGUAUGCAGAAUAUCAGCAUCUGAUUACUCUUUUGAUGAGAAACGAUAUUCUCAUAUUAAAGAAAGGAAGGGGGAACAAAGAAGGGAAAAAAAUAUAGUGUAAAAUCGUAUGUCCAAGAGUAUACUUUAAAAAUAUAGAAUGUACACUCACAAUAGCAGAGCUGUUGAGUCUGGCUCCAAUAGAUAUUCCCAAAACGGAAAUGCAGGCAGGGAACACUGGCAAGUUGGUUAAAAUCAUAAACACAACUUUAUUGCAUAUAACUUUUAAAAUAUCAGCUGUCCGGCAGGAGGACCCUUUUCCCUGUGUAUACGCCGGAGCAAAGUCCUGGUAGAUGUCGGAGUCUGGCCAAGAUCUCCGGUAUACCGCAAUGCUUCCGGGGGCAGGGUUUCCUCCACUGGCGUGCGUGCUGACGUAGGUAGGUGCAAUGACGCGUUUUGCCGUGACGACGGCUUCCUCUGAUCUGCCUUCCACUUGCCUGAACCUCCCUUAUAUGGCCAGCCUUAGUAGGCGUGUCUAUCAAUCCAUAUCGGAGCAAUUGUGUUAUCUGUAUGUCACACUAAAUUAGUUCAUAUUAAAGUCUCAGUGUCCACUGACAUACUUUGUGCACUCAGAGUCUUUUUAACCCCUUAAGGACCAAACUUAUGGAAUAAAAGGGAAUCAUGACAUGUCACACAUGGCAUGUGUCCUUAAGGGGUUAAUAAUAUUUACUGAAUUCACUAAGUGAGGUUGAUGCCCCAUUCAUUAAUAUUUAGUCCCUGUAGGAAAGUCUCUAGACUAGACCUGGACCCAUUCCAAAUAAAGAUGAAAUCAUCAAUAUACCUGCGAUAGGCAGCAUAGCAUUUCAGCACAUUUAAAAAAAUAUCAUAAUACGACCCAGCCAAGAUACUCCCUUAUCUUCCCAUACUUUUAGUUGUUUAUUUAAUUUAUGCAGCAGUGGUAUAUGAUUUUCUUUAAUAAUCAAGCUUUGUGUCUUAGUGAGUUUUAUACCCAAAUAUGAUAUUGACGUAGUGCGCCAAUCGAAUAGAUAUGUAUGGCUAGGGCUUGUAUUAUUUUUAUAAUACUAAGGGAUCAGAUAAGAAUAGUAAUACGUCAUCCGCAAAAAGCGCCACUUUCAUGUCUCCUGCUGGUCUUAGUAGGCACUUGAUAUUAUUGUGUUUCUUGAUAUAUAAUAUUAAAGGUUCAAGACACAAUAUGAAUAUCAGCGGAAAGAGAGGGCAGCCUUGUCUUGUUCCAUUUGUUAUAUUGAAAGAAGAUGAAAGAAAACCUGAGCUAUAAACUCUUGCUGAAGGGUUUUUAUACAAGGUCAUAUUCCGGCUCCGGCAUCACUGCGGUGUGCACGAGGGAGCUGAACAGGAGGAUCAGUGUUCCCUCGACGCCUGCCUGGGUAGCUUCGCCACUGCCAGCCUGGGGGGCCCUGAGGUGGCAACACAGCCAGCUACUGGGCCCCCCAGGUCAAGAGGCUGGCAAGGCAUUUGCCAGGGCAAUUGGGGGGCGGCUUUUUUUGCUGCUCCCCAGAAAGUGCCGCCCAAGGCAAAUGCCUUGUUUGCCUCGGUGUAAAUACACCCCUGCAUACAUACAUUGAAUCAAUGGAAUUCAUCACAACAUAUUAUAUGGGUACACAUCCAAAUUGGCAGUUAAAUGUCAGUGUGGCAGUCAGAAAGGAAUGUUGCAACGUUGAUGGAAGACGUUUCGAGCACUUAUGAGAUUAAAUAGUGUUAAAUAAAUAGAAUUGUAAUACAAUGCAAAUAAACUAUACGGUAUACCUAUGUUUGGGCCACCCUGUAUAAAAUGGAUUCUCUAUUGGGAAAGGCUGGCAACUUUUGGACUUGGGACAAGUACACAUAAGUGGCUUUUUUAGGGCACAAAAAUCACCAAUCUCUGUGUCUAUGAGCCUACUCAUAAGGCAGCAUUUGAAGUAUGUAUUUGCAGCUACCCUCAUUAUGACCGGCACAGCAUAAUGAAGCAAUGACAGGAGAUAUGUUCAUGACACAGUGUCCUUAUUGUCACCAAUGCCAAACCAGUCUGUGUUAUGGCUAUCCUGAGUCCCCCUCUUUUAAAAAUAUGUUUUUAUUAUAUACACUACACUCAUUGGUGUUGGAAUCGCUCACAUUACUCAUAAAUAACAGAAGAUGUAUUUAAAAUAUAUUGCAGACACCAGCCGGGCAGAAUUUACAUAUAAGCCCCAGAGCACAUACCGAGCAUGCGCAUUCACAUAUCAGUCUGACAGUAUUGACUGUCCAUACAGGGUUCACAUCACCAGCAUCAAGCCCGGAGCACACAACAGCUCACUCAAUCAGCAUCAAAUGAACUGCAUUUACAAUAUUUUCAUUCAGAUAUAUUUAUGCACAUACCAAUAAUUAUUUAAUUCCUUUACCUAAUUAGCUUUUGAUAUGUCUAUUAGAAGGAUAUCCAAGUAUCUGUUGCCUUUCUACCAAGCCAAAUAUCCAGAAAUUAUUUUACCUGUUCCCCUUUAAUAAUAAUGGGUUGUAACCGUUAGUUGCUUUAUUUGUAGAUCUAUUCAUGCGAUGCUUGGAAAUAAAAGCACUUGCCAAAUCAUUAAAUAAAAACAUAACAAUAUUCUCUUGCAACAAAUAUCAGAAGAUGCCAUAGGGAAGGAUUUGCUUUAUCUGCCAGAACAAAAUGCAAUCACUGUUGUGAGUUGGGGUACAGUGCUUUGAGGUAUUAUUAAUCUUUACAAUGGCUUUGUUUUACCCAGGAUCUUCCGAAAGAGGCGUAAACCGUUAACGCUUAGACAACUACAAAUUGAAAAUAUGGAGAUCCAGUGCAAUGAAUCAGAUGUAGAGAAUGCAACUGGGAUUGUCAGAGAGAAGAUUACAACUUCAGUCGAGG
rnacentral:lncRNA from 1 species